rnacentral:rRNA from 1 species
UACGAAGGGGGCUAGCGUUGCUCGGAAUCACUGGGCGUAAAGCGCACGUAGGCGGGUCUCUAAGUCAGGGGUGAAAUCCUGGAGCUCAACUCCAGAACUGCCUUUGAUACUGGCGAUCUCGAGUCCGGGAGAGGUGAGUGGAACUGCGAGUGUAGAGGUGAAAUUCGUAGAUAUUCGCAAGAACACCAGUGGCGAAGGCGGCUCACUGGCCCGGUACUGACGCUGAGGUGCGAAAGCGUGGGGAGCAAACAGG